UUGCCAACGCACACGUCUCACCCACCUUCAGAUGAGAUCGAGUUGUUGCUAUUUAUGAAUAUUCAUUCAUCUGCUCGACUGAUCCAAUUUCCUGUUUCUGUUCCAAUGGCAAAUGUGGGGUGGAAAAUCUAAUUCCUUCUCCAACAGCACGAUUUCACUCUUUUGCAACAAUGAGUAGGUUUCUUUAAUCCCGACACUUUUAAUUAUUAUGGGUUGAGGCUACCAACCUGAGCGUGUUCAAGCAGGAAUGUAUUUUUUAUUUUAUACGCUCACAGCGUCGUUACCUUUACUUUUAUUAAUUAUGUACUUAUAUAUAAUUGGAGGUAGUGUUUCUUUAUUUUACAGGGAAUUACUUGAGAGCACGUUGUUGUACGUAAAUGAGUGAUCAUGUCAUUCUUUUGGAAAACGAUGAUGUCAUACUAAUCCAAUCUCGCUGAGAAUUUGUUGUUUGGAAUAAUGGUAAAUAUUUGAUGCAAGAGCGAAGCGACAUUUAUAUAAGUUAACCACCAUCGCCACGUAUUGUUUGUCGAGUUGAGAUUGUUGACUUGCAAAUCAGUUUAAUUAUUACACCAUAAUAAACUCAAAUAUGUGAUUUCUGUUUU